CGGCUCGACCCCCGCCCGCCAGCCGUGGCAGCCGGCGGGCGCCCCCAAGGCCCUCGGGGCCCCGGCCCCGGCCAGCCCGGCGCCGGCCCCACUCACCCUUUCAUUCUCCGCCCGGGGCCUGGCGUGGGCCGGCGAAUCCCCGUCCUCACAUCAGAGUGAGAGGCGCUGGCAAUGGACUAGGAAGCUCGGCUGCCGCUGCUACUGCUCCCCCCUGGGCUCCGGAGAGAGCCUUUCCCUGUCAAGCAAGAGGGGUGAGGAUCAUAUUUUUAUUUUGGAAACUCAAAAGUGCUCCCGGGGUCGGUGAUUAUUAAGGGGAAAUCCCUGAAUAUACUCUCCAGCCAAGAAGGCAGGGCUGCCGGGGCUGCACAAGAAGAGGCAGCAGCCUCCUACAGCACCACUACAGGCACUGCGAGGACAUAACACCAGAGAGCGGCUCCUCUGCCCUCCGAAACGACAACUUUCCUACCAUCUUGGAGGCAGAGCAAAGGGGGGCCGGGGGGAAAAGUGCACCCGCUGCCGAUAAAGUACAAACUUCGACUUCUCAUCUCUGGAAAAAAGUCCACACCGGCCGUCUACACCGGCAACAGGGGGAGAAAGCAGGGAAGCAACUGGGGGUGCAGGAGAACCGUUUUCGUGGGCUCCAGGGGGAAAAAUGUUUCUGCAUCUUCUGAUGGAAAGAAAUCUUUGCAAGACACAGGUUUUCCGGUGAUUAUAAUUUUCUGUUUUCUCUUUAUUUUUUCCCAUGUGGUAUCUUAAUUUUUUUUUCUCAGGCUAAUAAUGAUUUUUUUUCUCCAGUACAGGUCUAAGUUGGGUGUCUGGUAGUCAGUUUAUAAAUUUGUACUUCUAGAGACUUCGCAAUCACUUUAUUUGUCUAUUUGCUAUUGUAUAUGUAAAUAUAUGAUUCCAUGCGUUAUCUGUAAAAAUUGGUGUUACAUAUUACCCUCAAAACUGAGACUGCUAUGAGACAGUUGUAAUGAGAUGUCUUUUGUCUCCUCUCAAAGCAAUGUAAAUAAAACCUAUUGACUGUCCAGAAAGGCAUAAUACAGCUGUUGAUUUUUCACAAUGCAAAUAAAAGCAGGGAUCACUGGGGAUAAAUGCAUCCCUGCUCCUCCAGUGGAUAACUGCUCGCCUUUCUGAAAAUAAUCCUAAUUCUGUUACAGUCUGCCAGUGAAGAAAGACUACUGUAAACCUUGAAAUAGAUUUUAACAAUAGCUUUAGGUUUUAAGUAAAAUUUCUUAUUAAGGAUUUCAUUGAAAAAAAAUUACAGCCAGACACUUGAUUUUUAAAUUUAUUUAGAUUUUUUAAAGUUUGGAUCUUCAGUGCUUUACACAUGUUGCUGCUGUUUCCUGUGUCACAGAAUUGAAAAAUGUGUCUGUUUUUUGCUAGAGUUGAAAUAUUUCAAAAGCUCACAUGUGCUGCUUGCCUGUAUGAGACUUUUGAUAUAUUCCAAUGGAUGUCAUGCAUCUACUUUUCUUUAAUGGUCAAGGCAUAAAGAUAAAUAGGAUCGAAGUUAUUAAUCCGUGUGGAGGGAACACAUAGGGAAGAGAGAAAGGUGCUACCCAUUUGCAUCAAUUCCAGCUGACUCUUACUGGAGGUGAAUGAAUGGCAGAGACUUUAUUUCUAUUUUUGUGAAGAAAGAGAAGAGUAAUAGAAAAUGACCAGACUAUCUUUUUGUGUGUUCUACAGAGACUGAUGAAUUGGAUCUGUACUAAAAGUUGUUUUUCUGAGACAUGUGGCUAACCUAGUGGGAAUAAAUUUGUAAUAUCAGUGGCUCUCAUCAGUAGAAUAAGUUCUUUAAUUUAUAGUAUAUUCCAAAGUGUUUAAACUUGAGCUUCUAAAUUUCUUUAUUAUUUGCCCAUGGAAUCUCAUCUUUAUCAUUUAAAUGUGAAUAUAGCCCUCAAUAUUCUGCAUUUCCUUUUGUGGAUUAUUUUUCCCUUCUUUAAUGGGAAAAAAACAAAGUAACUGAAGUAGAGUUAACUGAUGUUAUCACGUUAGAAACGUCAGUUGUGAAGUUAUAUUUACAAUGUUUUCUUGACAUCUGGAGAUAAACACAUAGGUCAUAGCAAGGAAGUUACUUCCCUUAACAUAGGCCUGUGGUGGACUUGGAAAAUCAUGUUUGGUAACAACUUGCUUUCGCUUUCUGUGACAUGACUUUACAGAUGUGCUUUGAGUUUUUCGUGAAAUUAAGAUGUAUUUGUUUGCAUUAAGUUGUCUGCACCUUUUUGUGUAGUUCCUUUCUUGACUUCAGAAACUUGUUUGCAUGAUGUCUAUCAAGGGGAUAAGGCUAUGCUGCAUAAUCUUUGCAUUUCAAUGCUUUUCUCUUUGUGAAGUUUGAGUUGUACACGACUACAAUCCAUGGUACUUACCAUCAAUUGAGCCACAUAGCCAAAACCUGGGGGAUUACAGCUGAGCCAAAAAAGAAAUCCCAUUAAGUUUGUAAUAUUGGUGAAUGUAGUUGGUCAGGGUUUAUUUCAGGAUUCCGUUGAACUCAUUUCAGGUGCUAUCGCUGAUUUCCAAAAGCUGCAAGUGCUACCAGAUCUACUGAAAACAUCUGGGAAGCCGCCUUUUCCACCCAGAAUUCCCACUACUCAAAUUGGGAUAACAUUGAGUGUCUAAUGCAUUUUAGUAAACUUAGUGGAUGUUUUAUGCAUGUAUUCUCAUUUAAUUCUCCCAAAAGUGCCCAAAAAUAGUUUUCUUCUUUUUUAAAAACAAUUCAUUAAACUGUCUUUCCUUGUCAGGGAGGGUGGACCUUCUGACGCUAAAGCUUUCUUGUCAGAUUCUAAAUUCUCCUGCCCUGGAGUUUUCCAGGUGCCUGCCGCAACUCGGUGCUCUCUGCUUGGAAGUACUAGGUUUCUGCCACCUGUCCUUUGCCUAAACCAAACUUUGAGUCACCAGCCCUUGGAGCCCUCUUCAUUCCUUGUUGGCAAUCAGUCGCAUAUUCACCUUCAUGAAGUCUAAUACGUAAAUCUGUCAGUUGUUUUGAGAAAUGCAGAGGUAAAUAUAUUUGUUAUUUGAAAUGUACUCUGAGACUUUCUUCCUGAUCCCAUUGAGCAGUGUGUGGUUAAGCACUGGCUUAUUUAUUCUGCUGUCCCUUAACUUCACAAGGAGCUGUAGGGCCUUUGUUGAAAUAGGAAGCACUUGCCUUCAUGUUUUUACAUUAGACUCUGCUUUUUGGUAUUAAUGGUUUUUAGUCUUGUAAAAUUGACCUCUUUAUAAUAAUGUUAUUAAGAAAAUACCACCUAGAUCCUUAAAAGAUCUUACCCACAGGUUGUUACAUGGAUUUAAAGUGAAAGACAUAUGCGUGUUUAAUAUAUUAGAAUUGUCUUUAAGCAGUGAAGUCAUGCCUGUAUUGGUGAAUGUUUGUUUGCUGAUAGAAUCACCAAGUAUUUAAAAUAAACACUGACAGUUGGCAUGGUUAUUAGUGUUUAGUGUUUUUUGGAGGGAAGGAGUAAGAAUAUGAACCUUCCCUAAUCAUACGGGUGUUUUUCUUAAUAUGUCCAAAGGCAGAGUCAAAAGCCACACCAAGAGUCUCUAACUAGUACAAAAACUCCCGAGGAGCUGGGAGUGCAGGAUGGAAGUGAGGUACAGUCACAGCCUGAAAACCAUGCAGUUAAAAUUAGAUAUACACAUACUUUUUUUUUUUAACUUUAAGCAUUUAUUGUUUUGAAAAUAUUCAUUGGUACUGUUUCUACCUAAAACAAAGGUUUUGGUUUUACUGUGGUUACUGUGCCCUACAACAAAGUGUUUCUGAGAUAAGCAUUGUAUUUGCAGAUAUUUGCAUCAUAGCUGUAGAUUAUCUGAGUAUGAAAUGUCUGAAAUAAAGAAUCUGCUACAAUCAAAAUAUAUAUAAGCCUUCUGCAGGUAGUCUUCCAAAUUCUAACACCUAAUCCAGAGGCACACAGACCUGAGAACUAUUACUAGAUUACACACCAGAAACCAAGAGAGUUUGCUUUAUUUAUUUAUUUGAAAGCAGAGUUACAGAAAGAGAGAAGGAGAGGCAGGGAAAUAGAGAGAUCAUCCGUCCGCUGGUUCACUCUCCAAUUGGCCGCAAUGGCCAGGACUGGGCCAGGCCGAAGCCAGGAACCAGAAGCCUCUUCUAGGUCUCCCAUGUGGGUGCAGGGGCCCAAGGACUUGGGCUGUCCUCCACUGCUUUUCCAGGUGCAUUAUGGAACUGGCUCAAAAGUGGUGCAGGGCCCAGCACUGUGGUGUAGUGAGUUAAGGUGCUGCCAGUUUGAGUCCCAGCUGCUCCACUUCCAAUCCAGCUCUCUGCUAUGGCAGUAAAAGAUGCCCCAAGUCCUUGGACCCCUGCAUCCCUGUGGGGGACCAGAAGAAGCUCCUGGCUUUGGAUUGGUGCAGCUCUGGCUCUUGUGGCCAUCUGGGUAGCAAACCGGCAGAUGAAAGACCUCUCUGCCUCUGCCUCUCUGUAACUCUGCCUUUCUUUCUUUCUUUCUUUCUUUCUUUUUCUUUUUUUUUUUUUUUUUUUAAGAUUUAUUUUAUUUACUUGAAAGACAGAGUUACAGAGAGGUAGAGAUAGAAAGAGAGAUCGUCCAUCCACUGGUUCACUCCCCAAUUGACUGCAACGGCCGGAGCCAUGCCAAUCUGAAGCCAGGAGCUUCUUCCGGGUCUCCCACGUGGGUGCAGGGGCCCAAGGACUUGGGUCAUCUUCUACUGCUUUCCCAGGCCACAGCAGAGAGCUGGAUUGAAAGAGGAGCAGCUGGGACUAGAACCGGCGCCCAUAUGGGAUGCCGGCGCUUCAGGCCAGAGCGUUAACCCGCUGCGCCACAGUGCUGGUCCCAACUCUGCCUUUCAAGCAAACAAAU